rnacentral:rRNA from 1 species
UUCUAGGGAUACGCUACUCUUAAAUGUCCUGAUUUUGUCUGAUCUUGGAAGCUAAACAGAUCUAGGCCUCAGUACUGGGAUGGGAAACCACCUGGGAAUAUUGGGGGCCUUUGACU